rnacentral:lncRNA from 1 species
AAUAAGGACAAGGGACACUAGCUAAGCCGUCAACAUGUGUAGCCAUGUGUAACCUACACAACCUUUCACUCAGAAUCCCACAGGAAUACUCUUCACUUCUAGUGCCAUCUGUACCCAAAGUGUUUCUGUAAGCUAUCUGCGGAGGUUAGUGUAACAAAACCAAAACCAAAACAAAACAAAAUAAAAAAACCCUAGCCAAGCCAGUCAGCUGAAGAAACACAGGACAAAACCAUAUAAACAUUGCAACUAGUAAAGAUAUCAUUGAAAACAUGUUUGAAGCAAUAGCAAGAACGACAAGGAAAAGGGUGAGCAAGCACACUCACGGGGGAAGAACAAGCAUUAGUGUGCAUUUUUGGAGGGGUAGGACCUGACAAGAAUGGACACAUGAUGGGGCUAGAGAGCUGGGUCAGUGCUUAAGUGUGUGCUAUUCUUCAGAGGAUGCAGGUUCAGUUCCAUCACCCACAGCUCAUGGCUCACAGCUGCCAUUAAUUCUAGCUCCAAGGGACCAACACUUUCUUUGGCCUCCACAGGUUAUCAGCAAACACGGUGUGUUCAAGUGUGCAUCUGCACUUGCGCACACACACCUUUGAAAAAAGAAUGCAUAUAUUGGAAAUGUGUUUAAACAGAAAGGCAGAACUAAAAUGCUUAGACAACUUUCUAAUGACAUUUCUCUGUUUAUACCUGAUGAGACUUGAAAAGUCACAGACCAACUUUCAUUAUCAAGCACAUUUCCAUAAUUAUUUCUAAGGUUCUGCCACAAAUAUAACCAGCUGAACUGUACAAUGACACACACAGGAGGAGGAGGAGGAAUUCAAUGAAAUGAAUGAAAAUACUGAAUUGUUAAAGUUGCCACACUCAGGCUGGGCUGAGAGAGAUGAGAUCAGUCACUUCUGAUCUCACUGUGGCCUCAAGAGAAGGUGAUGGCGCACAAUGAGUAAUGCUGGCUGGCAUAAAGCGAGCUGUUGACAGGGGACUGCCCAAACUGGGCCCCUCAAGCUGUUGGAACAGCAGAUAACUAAAGAGUCCCUCAUGUGCUUUACCACUGGGCUACAUUCUCAGACUUCAAGAUAACUUUGAUAUGAAAAUCUGAUGUUUUACCAUAACUGCAGACACACAUUGAAUAGGAACAACUAAACUCUGGAUGAUACUAGUAACUUUACUUGUGACUGUUGAAGUGGCUGGGCUACAAUAGCAACUCCAAUUAGCAGUACAAAUUUAUCUCUAUAAUUCUUUAAAUGCAGAAAUGUGGGUAGAAAGGUUGCUAAAUCCUCUGACUUUAAGUUUCUCAUCUUUACAAGGGACAGUAGCGUGUCCUGAUUCACAGAGCUGUGGCAAGUGUCAACUCAAUUGUGAUAGCUCUGAUAAUUAUGUACAUGCCAACAACAAAGGCUGGUAAAAAAGUACCUGACCAUUUUGUAAAACAAUAUAGGUCGAUCUAAGAAAUACUCUUUGUAAUUCUUCCUCAUAUAAAUAUGUAAUUUCAUAAACUGAAUUUAUAUAGCUUAACAUCAUAGUUACAUAUCUUGUUUUAUUGCACUAGGAUGAAUAGGAAAAAGUUCAGAGGAAAUAAAUGUGCUAGGUUCUUCUUGACUAUAUGUGUACACACAGAAACAUAAGUAACCUGUACAGCUAUAGGCAGACACACACACUGCAUAUACAAGCAGAGAAUAGCAGGGUAGAACACUAUCGAGACAUUAUUUUUUCCCUCUUAUCAUUAACUAACAAUUCAACUUACCAUGAAAACGUCUAUUAAAUUCCCCC